GCUUGCUGGGUGGAUCAGUGGCGAACGGGUGAGUAACACGUGAGCAACCUGCCCUGGACUCUGGGAUAAGCGCUGGAAACGGCGUCUAAUACUGGAUACGAGCCACGAAGGCAUCUUCGGUGGUUGGAAAGAUUUUUCGGUCUGGGAUGGGCUCGCGGCCUAUCAGCUUGUUGGUGAGGUAAUGGCUCACCAAGGCGUCGACGGGUAGCCGGCCUGAGAGGGUGACCGGCCACACUGGGACUGAGACACGGCCCAGACUCCUACGGGAGGCAGCAGUGGGGAAUAUUGCACAAUGGGCGGAAGCCUGAUGCAGCAACGCCGCGUGAGGGAUGACGGCCUUCGGGUUGUAAACCUCUUUUAGCAAGGAAGAAGCUUUUUGUGACGGUACUUGCAGAAAAAGCGCCGGCUAACUACGUGCCAGCAGCCGCGGUAAUACGUAGGGCGCAAGCGUUAUCCGGAAUUAUUGGGCGUAAAGAGCUCGUAGGCGGUUUGUCGCGUCUGCUGUGAAAUCCCGAGGCUCAACCUCGGGCCUGCAGUGGGUACGGGCAGACUAGAGUGCGGUAGGGGAGAUUGGAAUUCCUGGUGUAGCGGUGGAAUGCGCAGAUAUCAGGAGGAACACCGAUGGCGAAGGCAGAUCUCUGGGCCGUAACUGACGCUGAGGAGCGAAAGGGUGGGGAGCAAACAGGCUUAGAUACCCUGGUAGUCCACCCCGUAAACGUUGGGAACUAGUUGGUGGGGGUCCUUUCCACGGAUUCCGUGACGCAGCUAACGCAUUUAGUUCCCCGCCUGGGGGAAGUACGGCCGCAAGCUAAACUCAAGGAAUUGACGGGGAGCCGCACAGCUGGCGGAGCAUGCGGAUUAAUUUCGAUGCAUCGCGUAAGAAACCUACCAAAGGCUUGACAUACACGAGAACACCCUAAAAUAAGGGACUCUUUGGACACUCAUGACAAGGUGGUGCAUGGCUGUCGUCAGCUC
rnacentral:rRNA from 1 species